rnacentral:tRNA from 1 species
GGAGACGUGGCCGAGUGGUCGAAGGCGCUCGCCUGCUAAGUGAGUAACGGGGAAACCCGUUCGAGGGUUCGAAUCCCUUCGUCUCCGCCA